UACGGGAGGCAGCAGUGGGGAAUAUUGCACAAUGGGCGAAAGCCUGAUGCAGCUAUGCCGCGUGUAUGAAGAAGGCCUUAGGGUUGUAAAGUACUUUCAUCGGGGAGGAAAAAACAAAACUAAUAAUUUUAUUUCUUGACGUUACCCGAAAAAGAAGCACCGGCUAACUCCGUGCCAGCAGCCGCGGUAAUACGGAGGGUGCUAGCGUUAAUCAGAAUUACUGGGCGUAAAGAGCACGUAGGUGGUUUUUUUAAAGUCAGAUGUGAAAUCCCCUGGGCUUAACCUGGAACUGCAUUUUGAAACUGAAAUACUAGAGUAUCGUAGAGGGAGGUAGAAUUCUAGGUGUAGCGGUGAAAUGCGUAGAUAUCUGGAGGAAUACCUGUGGCGAAAGCGGCCUCCUAAACGAAUACUGACACUGAGGUGCGAAAGCGUGGGGAGCAAACAGGGAUUAGAUACC
rnacentral:rRNA from 1 species